rnacentral:rRNA from 1 species
UACGGGGGGGGCAAGCGUUGUUCGGAAUUACUGGGCGUAAAGGGUUUGUAGGUGGCUUGUUAAGUCAGACGUGAAAUCCCUCAGCUUAACUGGGGAACUGCGUCUGAGACUGGUGAGCUUGAGUGCAGGAGAGGAACGCGGAAUUCCAGGUGUAGCGGUGAAAUGCGUAGAUAUCUGGAGGAACACCGGUGGCGAAGGCGGCGUUCUGGACUGCAACUGACACUGAUGAACGAAAGCCAGGGGAGCAAACGGG